GGAGGAGAGAUGUAGAAUCACUAGUCCUGGUUCAACCAGUGCAUUACAAUCACCAUUACAGGUCCAUUACAGGUCCAUUACAAUCACCAUUACAGGUCCAUUACAAUCACCAUUACAGGUCCAUUACAAUCACCAUUACAAUCACCUUUACAGGUCCAUUACAAUCACCAUUACAAUCACCAUUACAGGUCCAUUACAAUCACCAUUACAGGCCCAUUACAAUCACCAUUACAGGUCCCUUACAAUCACCAUUACAGGUCCAUUACAAUCACCAUUACAGGUCCAUUACAAUCACCAUUACAAUCACCAUUACAGGUCCAUUACAAUCACCAUUACAAUCACCAUUACAGGUCCAUUACAAUCACCAUUACAGGUCCCUUACAAUCACAAUUACAGGUCCAUUACAAUCACCAUUACAGGUCCAUUACAAUCACCAUUACAGGUCCAUUACAAUCACCAUUACAGGUCCAUUACAAUCACCAUUACAAUCACCAUUACAGGUCCAUUACAAUCACCAUUACAAUCACCAUUACAGGUCCAUUACAAUCACCAUUACAGGUCCAUUACAAUCACCAUUACAGGUCCAUUACAAUCACCAUUACAAUCACCAUUACAGGUCCAUUACAAUCACCAUUACAGGUCCAUUACAAUCACCAUUACAGGUCCAUUACAAUCACCAUUACAGGUCCCUUACAAUCACCAUUACAGGUCCAUUACAAUCACCAUUACAAUCACCAUUACAGGUCCAUUACAAUCACCAUUACAAUCACCAUUACAGGUCCAUUACAAUCACCAUUACAGGUCCAUUACAAUCACCAUUACAGGUCCAUUACAAUCCCCAUUACAGGUCCAUUACAAUCACCAUUACAGGUCCAUUACAAUCACCAUUACAGGUCCCUUACAAUCACCAUUACAGGUCCAUUACAAUCACCAUUACAGGUCCCUUACAAUCACCAUUACAGGUCCAUUACAAUCACCAUUACAGGUCCAUUACAAUCACCAUUACAGGUCCAUUACAAUCACCAUUACAAUCACCAUUACAGGUCCAUUACAAUCACCAUUACAAUCACCAUUACAGGUCCAUUACAAUCACCAUUACAGGCCCAUUACAAUCACCAUUACAGGUCCCUUACAAUCACCAUUACAGGUCCAUUACAAUCACCAUUACAGGUCCAUUACAAUCACCUUUACAGGCUAUUUUGUUAAAGAAAACUAUUUUUGUGUGUUUAUGUAUUCGUUUUCCAGUAUUCAUCCACUCCCUCUACUAAUCCCUAAUGCUCUCUGAGGUAACUGAAUAGUGAUUUCCAUCUGGUAUUUAUGCAUCCGUGUGUGUUUGUGUUUGUCCAGUUAUGACCCAAAGAGCUACAAAUGGUUGAAUGUGACUUCCUUUUCCCAGUUCUCACAACCCCCCACUACACUUCUCUUGCACAUCAUCCCAACCUCGAUUCCUAAAAGGGCCUUCAUGUGUCCCUCGGUUUCCACUCCAGCCAAUUUCCCCCGGCCUAAUUGGUUCAAUGAGUUACUUCCCCUUCGUCUGCAUUGGUGCCGUUGUUAAACCCUCUAUGCAGAUUAUAGUGGUGAUGUAACUCUCUU
rnacentral:lncRNA from 1 species